CCAUUCGAAGGAUGGGGAGCAACAAAAGAAGCUAGGUCUUAUUUUGUAAAUGGAGAGACUGAUAUAAUCUGCCCUGCUAACUGUGAUGGCCAGUCAUGACCACGUCCACGGCUGCAGACCGCUGAACUAGAGAAACAGAAGUGGGAGGCCAGAGGAGAGGAGCUCGAU
rnacentral:lncRNA from 1 species